UUUAAUGAGAGUUUGAUCCUGGCUCAGGACGAACGCUGGCGGCGUGCCUAAUACAUGCAAGUAGAACGCUGAGGUUUGGUGUUUACACUAGACUGAUGAGUUGCGAACGGGUGAGUAACGCGUAGGUAACCUGCCUCAUAGCGGGGGAUAACUAUUGGAAACGAUAGCUAAUACCGCAUAAGAGUAAUUAACACAUGUUAGUUAUUUAAAAGGAGCAAUUGCUUCACUGUGAGAUGGA
rnacentral:rRNA from 1 species